ensembl:lncRNA
GGGUUUGCAGUAGAGGCGAGGGUAUCCUGCUGGGGAUCCCUGUGUAGUUGUGGUCUUCUGAAGCUAAAACCCAGAAGCUGGAGGGAGUGAUAUCAACUGUUCUGUAACUACACCAAGGGCUGUAACACCAAUCAGACUGGUGUUUUGGAGUGUCUGCAGUCUCAUGAGGAUUAGAGGCUACUCCUUAACUCAGAGAUGAGGUUUUCGACCAGCAGCUCUUUCUGCACCUGGUGAAGUCAACAGGAGAGCAUUCAGAGCACUCCGUGAGAAGAUACGUCCAACGAAGCCCAUGACUAGAGUGACCAGUAAGAAAGGGAAAGAAGAUUUGAGAAUGCCAUAAAGACUAUAUUUACCUCUAGAAAAUCAGCAAUAUUUCAGAGGAGGCUAUCUGCAUGUCCAGACUUCAGAUACCCGCUCCACCUCUGGUCAAUCCCAUGCCCAGUGCCUUGGGAUGUAACAUUCAUGCCAUAGAUAUGAAUCUGGCAAGGCUUUUUUCUUGAUUCAGGAAUGUGAAAAAGGGAAGACUGAUACUUAGAUGAAUUCUGCAACUCAAAAUAGCCUCAACUAGCUUUACCUCCACUUUCCUUGGCUUUUAUUUUAAUUCUGCUCAAAGUAGACUUCUACCAGUUGAGGUGAAACAAGGUUCAAGGUUUUAUGGGCGUGUAACUUCUGCUGGUGGAUCUUAUCUUCAUCUGACAGCUUUCUCAUCUUUCUGCAGUAAAAGAAUAAGCAUAGUUUACCUCAAGUGCUGUCCACUCAGUUUGUUAGGGGACAAUGAAUAUGACAAGGGAGGCUUUGGUUUUCUUGGUUGUUUUUCUAUGUGUUUUUGCCUCGCAACCAGUGUCUUUGCAUGAUGUGAUGAGUUAAUGCAGGUGGCUGCAUGAACUGGCUGUGGAACAGAAGGUUGAAGCUGCCCUGCUUCCACGUGAGGAGCCUUUAAGCACUGCAGAAAUCUGACCUGUGCCUGACAUGUGCCUGGAUUUCAAAUGGAGGACAUCAGAACCGAUGCUGGACCCUCAGCGACAUGGGUGUGAAGUCUCCUGGGAUUUAAUAUGCGGCACAUGAUAUAGCAAUAAAUCCCAGAAGAAAGACCAAAAUGGAAGAAAUUCAGGGAGAAAAAAAAAAAAGAUAUUCACGGAGUUGAAUCAAUCAGUGUCAUCAACUACAAGGAAAGCUUUACCCUGAUGGAGAGAACUGCUCCACAACUUCGUUAGACGUAAAAAGUCUGAGGACUGGUUUCUUCUAAGGGGAUUGCCAAACAGAAGUGAUAAUGUGCUGUAUCUGAGCAUCUAUUCUCUGCCCCUCCUUACUAACAGCAAUAGGUAGCUUUGUCUGUCACUGCCUGGUCACUUAGUUAUUGCCUCUCAGAGGGUGUGUUCCA